CCUUCUGUCUCUCUGUCUCUCUCUGCCUCUCCCUUUCCCUCUUCCCCACCCUGAAACUUUCAAUGCAGGAUGGAAAAACAGGAAGGAGGGAACAAAAAAGUUUUAUUCGCUUAAACAAAAAAAAAACUAAUUUAAAUUAAACAAUUAGGGGUUAGUUUUAAAUAAAAUCAAAGCAAAUAGUGUCCAAAGUUCCAAGCUAUAAAAUAAUCCAAGGAAGGGAUUUGGAAAAAAUUUGAUUAUAGCACCUCCUAGUGGAGGAGAAGCACAUAGAAUAAAAAGUUUUUUUGUGAAAACAGCCACACUGUUUUUGUUUUUGUUUAAGUUUAACAAGAAUCUUAGAUAAUCACCGUUUUUCUGACCCUUUUGAAAAAAUAAUUACUUGGGGCAGCUAUAUAGCUCAGUGAAUAGAGAGCCAUUUCUGGAGCCUGGAGGUUGUGGGUUCCAAUCUGGCCUCAGAUACUGCCUAGCUGUGUGACCCUGGACGAGUCACUUAACUCUGUCUAGCCCUUGCUCUUAUAUCUUAGAGUUGUUACUAAGACCUAAAGUAAGUGUUAUUUAUAAAGGAUGUACUCGGCUUCCCACAUGCCUUCUCUGUUUGCUUAUUAGACUCAUCUGUAUGAUUGAAAUAACUGUCAAUUUGGAGGCAAAUUCAAAGAAAAAGUGUUGUUCUCAGCAGGAAAAUUAAUGCAAAUGCCAGGGGAUAGCAGAUGUAGGUUUUUAGGAUUUGGGGGGACAAUUAAUGGGGCCAAUGGAUAGAGUACAGGGCAUGGACUCAGGAAGAUCUCCAAUACUUACUAGCAAUAUGAGCCUAGGAAAAUCACUUGACCUCCGUCUACCUUAGUUUCUUCAUUUGCAAAACAGGGAUAAUAAUAACAUUUACUUUCCAGGGUUGCUGGGAUCAAAUGAGAUUAUAAUUAGGAAGUACCUAGAAUAUAGUAAAUGCUACACAAAUGUCAGUCAAUAUUACUUUUUUAUUAUGACUUUUUAAAAAAUUGUUAAACCUUUAUGUUCUGCCUUGGGUCAUAUUUAAGACAGAAAAGUGUCAAGGGCUAAGCAAUCAGAAUUAAAUGAAUCAGGGGUCACUCAGCUAGAAAAGUGUCUGAGUCCAGAUUUGAACCCAGAACCUCCUUUCUCUAGGUCUAGGGCCACUAUCUAAGCCAUCUAGCAGCCUCUAUGUCAUUAUUAUUUUUUAAGCCCUUAUUUCUGUCUUAGAAUCAACACUAUGUGAAGAGUGAUUCAAACUCUCUUUGUCCAUCAAUCAGCAACUUUUAAUCAAUCAAAAACUUAAGUACCCUGGUCGACAAUUUAAAAAUACGAUUGGGUAUUGGAUCCAUGACAGAAGAGUGGUAAGGGCUAGGCAAUGGGUGUUACGUGACUUGCCCAGGGACACACAGCCCAGAAAGUGUCUGAGGCCACAUUUGAAGCCAGGACUCUGAGCCUGACUCUCAAUCUACUGAGGCACCCAUUAUUACUUUUUAAUAAGUUUAAAUUUAAAAAUAAAUACAUUUUUGGGUGCAGUGGAAAGGGAAUCCACACCUGUGACUUCACUGGUAGAAGAAACCCUUGGAGAGGAAACUUUACCAAUUCAGUUUAUCUACUUUCUGGGUUUUUUUGUUUGUUUCAGUUUAUAGUCUCUCUGAUUUGCCUGGAGCAGUAAUAGUUAAGUCAUUUGACCAUGGUGACACAGUCAGUCAAUGUCAGAGGCAGGAACUGUACCCAGGUCAUCCUGAUUUUCUUAGACAUCUCUCUAUCUCCCAUGUCCUAUGCCCUUUUUUAUAGCUUUAAAUUAAAUAAAUAAGCCUGAUAUGUAUCUCCAAAGGCCAGGCUUUCUACAGUUUCCUUAACAAUACCAUUUAGCGAUAACCCCCAAACAAACCAACUUUUCAAUACUAGUUUAUGGAUCAUAGAACAUGAAAUUCCAUGGGCAGGAACACGUGAAAAAAAAAGUCAAGGGCAAUUAAUUGCUUUAAAUGAUGCUCCUGCUGAUAAUGUUGUUCAUCUUUGUUUCCUUUUUCCUUUUUAAAAAAUUUAUAGCCCUUACCUUCUGUCUUAAAAUCAAUACUAAAUAUUGGCUCCAAGGCAGAAGAGUGGUAAGGGCUAGGCAAUGGGGAUAUAGUGACUUGUCUAGGGUCACACAGCUGGGAAGUCUGAGGCGAGAUUUGAACGCAAGACCUCCCAUUUCCUGACCUGGUUCUCAAUCCACUGAGCCACCCAGCUGCCCCAUCUUCAUUUUUUGAAGAGAACCAUUGGCAUCAUGAGGUUGAUGGUUUGAUUUAUAAGGGAGUUGGAUUUAAAGUGAGGCAGAGAUGGCAGCUGGGUGGCUCAGUGAAUAGAGAGCCAGGUCUAAAGAUGGGAGGUUCUGAGUUCAAAUAUGACUUCAGACACCUCCUAGCUGUGUGACCCUGGGCAAGUCACUUUUCUCCCAUUGCCUAGCCCUUACCAUUAUCCUCUUUGGGAACUACAUACCAUAGUGAUUCUAAGAAGGAAGGUAAGGGUUUAAUAAAAUAUAAUAAGGAAGAGUUACACCAAAUCAUCACUCGUCAUCUCUUCCAGAGUCAUCAAAGUCCAGUGGCAGAACAAAAGUUCAAAUGACCAGUGAUGGUCUUCGAUGCAGUGGAUGACAUUGGGAUCUUUGAGGUUUGAUGGAGCUCUAAGGGUUCCACACAUCCUGCCUCAACCUUCUUUAUGACCAUUAGACCAAACUAUUCUCAUCUACCCAUUCCUCCAGGGCACUUGGGGAAGAUACCCCUCUUACUCAUGAGCUAAUAUUUAUAUAGCAUCUACUAUGUGCUUUCAAGUGCUUUCCAUUAUCUCAUUUAAUAUUGAUUAAUCAAUUAAUCAAUCAAUUAAUAAUAAAAUUCUCAUUUAAUAAUGAUACUUUAUCACAAAGGAGAUGAAGUGAGAACAAACAUAUGCAUGAAAACAAACUCAAAAAAGUCCAAAACAUUUAUAUUUAGGGCAGCUAGGUGUCUUGGUGAAUAGACCGCCAGACCUGGCAUUGGGGGUAGCAGGGUUCUAAUUUGGCCUUGGAGACUGUGUGACCUUGGGCAAGUCACUUCAUCCUGUUUGCCUCAGUUUCCUCAUCUGUCAAAUGAGCUGGAGAAGGAAAUGGCAAGCAACUCUACGAUCUUUGUGCCAAGAAAACCCCAAAUUCUGGGGUCAUGAAGAGUAGGACACAACUAAACACAUAUUUUGUUAUAGAACAUAGAUGGAUAUGUGUAUAAUAUAUGUAUAUAAUAUGCACAUAUAUUUACUUAAAUCCAUAUUUAUCUUCUGCCAGAGUCCAAACCCUUCUCUCUCUCUCUUUUUUAAGCCUUCACCAUCUGUCUUAGAAUCGAUAUAAAUAUCAGUUCCAAGGGGGAAGAGUGGUAAGGGCUGGGCAGUGGGGGUUAGGUGACUUGCCCAGGGUCCUGCAGCUUGGAAGUGUCUGAUCCCAGGUCCUCCCAACCUCAGGUCUGGCGCUCUCUCCAUGGAGCCAUCCAGCUGCCCCCAUCCAAACCAAUUUCUAUUUCGACCUUGUCAAUUGCCUGGGGCCAUCCAGCCAGUGUAAAAGACUGUCCCAAGAUCAUUCCAAUUCCAUUAAACCAAACUUCUACCCCAGUAGGACCUCUGGGUCGGGCGCUGUGGAAACAAAGGUGGAAAGAUACAAUCCCUUCUCUCCAAAAGCCUUUCAUCCAAUUUGGAGAUGCUACGGGGAAGGAUGUCAAAGUGAGCUCCGGCGUCCCCCGAGGAGAUCGGAGGAGGAAAAGCUCCCUUCCAGCAGGGGAGAAGGAGAUGCCUCCGAGAGGGCAGCAGUAUUUGAGCUGGGUCCUGAAGGAGAUCGCUUCAGGCGGCAGAGACACGGUGCGUUCUUUCUCAUAGAUCCCUCCGGGUUGCUCAGGAUCACUGCAUCGCCAUUAAUGGAGAAGUCCAUUACGUUCGAUUGUACCACAGUGUAUCAGUCUCUGUGUACAAUGUUCUCCUGGUUCUGCUCCUCUCACUCUGCAUCAAUUCCUGGAGGCUGUUCCAGUUCACAUGGAAUUCCUAAUUACAGGUAGAAAUAGUUUUUGGCAAUUUUGAAAUUCAGAUUUUCUCCCUCCCUGAGGCGGUGAAUAAUCUGAUAUAAGUUCUACCAGGAUAAUGAAAGUAGUUUUAACUGGGGCUUGAAGAAACCAGAAGAAUACCAGAGGCAAAGAUGAAAAGGGAGGACAGUCAAGACAUGGGAGAGAGCCAGUGAAAAUGUAGAGAGCAUUUUAUUAGCUGAGAAAUGCAGAGUCUUAUUCCAGGAACAGCAAGGAGGCCCCUGUCACUGGAUCAAAGGAGAAGAGGAAGAUGUAAGAAGACUGGAAAGAUAUCCACAGGAUUCCUAACUGUGUGACCCUAAGCAAGUCACUUAACCCCCAUUGCUCAGCUCUUACUGCUCUUCUGCCUUGGAACCAAGACACAGUAAUGCUUCUAAGAUGGAAGUCAUGUGGGACUCUGAGACUUCUUUUGGGGUUUUCUUGGUGAAGAUACUGGAGUGAUGCUUUGCCGUUUCCUUCUCCUGCUCAUUUUACAGAUGAAGAAACUGAGGCCAACAGAGUUAAAUGACUUGCCUAGUGUCACACACUGUAAAUGUCUGAGACUGGAUUUGAAAUCAAUAGGAGAGGUCUUCCUGACUCCAGGAAGAGUGCUUUUAAGAUCACCUCCCCUAGUCUAUACCUCCUGUUAUUAUUAGCCAAACUGCCUCUGGCAAAGAAAAAGUGGGUAUCUCCUGGGACUAUUUAAGAGGAUUGUAACUCUUGUUCUAUAGAUGCUAACAAGUUUCAGGUCAAUCUUAGGCCUUGUUUGUCUCAAACUUUACAUACAUGGUUCGGUCUAUUAGUUGACCCACUAGGCAACAAUCCGUGCCUCUAAGCCCAAAGUCACCAUCCUAACUGCAGACUAAGAAGCCAGGUCCAUCCUGGUGGAUGAUGAUCUCUCUCUGCACUCCCAUGUGGCCCUUCAGAGGCAGCUGGAGGUGUCCUAACCUGAAGCUAUUUGACAGAAUUGACAUUUUCGUGACAUGAAACAUAUUCAGAAGGCUAAAAAUAAGCCCCGGUCUCUUAGAGCAUCUUGGGACCGUGGACUGUGCCAACUCACAGUAGCCUCUUCCAAGAGGAUGGAGCCAUGUCUGGUCAGUGAGAGAGAGAGGAAUCAUUCUGGCAGAAGUCCCAUCGACGUUCCACUUUUUUUCUCUGCGACAGAAUCAGCUGGAAGCAAUAGCUCUGAAAUCCCAGGACAAAGGAAGAGCUCUUGAACAGAGUAAGGAGAGAAUAAUGAAUUGAUAGCUACUCACAUCCUCAGCAAAAAGGAUAUAGUUGUCUGUCUUUAGACUUAGAAGGAAGUGGCAACAGAAACUCUAUCCUUCUUUCCCUGGCUAUUUUAGAAGCAAAUUGCCUGGAGCAGUUAGUUGGCUAGUUGGUGGAUAGAGAGCCAAGCCUAAAUGAGGGAGAUCCUGGGUUCAAAUGUGACCUCAGAUACUUCCUAGCUGUAUGACUCAGGGCAAGUCACUUUGUCUAGCCCUUUGAGGCUCUUCUACCUUGGAACCAACAUACAGUAUUGAUUUUAAGAUGGAAGGUAGGGGAUAAAAAAAAGAAAUGGUCAUUCAUUAGUUCCCCUGUGAUCUAAUAGUCUUCCUCUGAGUAAAUAGUGUUCACCAAUGAGAAUAAGAAAAAAAAAAGAAGCCUUCCAAGUGUCUAGGAUCCAGGAGACGACCAAUUUUUGUUUCAAUAGAGGUGGAUUCUUAGCACUAGCUAAUUCUGCCUCUCAGAUAGACUCACCAAUGAGUCCUGGCAUUAACCAACCCAGGCAGAAAAACUGGUUUGGGGGGGAUAGGUGGAGAUAGAGGUGGAGACCAACUCCUUGUGACAUGGGUGGAGGCUGUGGGUGCACUCAGUAUCCUUCCUGUGUGACACUUUGGGGCACUCCAGUAGUACAAGCAGUCUAUGGCAGCUUGUGGCUUACAGGAAGACAGGGUGUCAUUUAAUUAAUUAACAAAGCCAGGAAGUAUAUAUAAUUUGCCAAUCAAGCUACUAGCCCAGUGUUCUCAUUAAGGUCUCUCUGAUGCAUGGGUUAUUGAGUCUCCUCUCCCCUCCUUUCCUCUUUUCCCUGCCCCACCCUCAAGCUGGGUUUCAUGGCUGACAAGUUUGAGGAGAAAAACAUCAGAAUGGCUGGAUUCAAAACUGAUAUAGGAUCUGAUAUGGCACAUGACUGAAAUUACUAAAGGAAAACCUCUGGCUCACUACUUUCCCACUCUCCACAUGGAAAAGUUCCUGCUUUUUUUUUUUCUUUCUUCUGUCUUAGACUUAAUACUGGCUCCAAAGCAGAAGGGCAGUAAGGAGAUAGGCAAUGGAGGUUAAGUGACUUGUCUAGGGUCACACUGCUAGGAAGUAUGAGUCCAGAUUUAAACCCAGACACUCUCAUCUCUCAAUCCACUGAGCCAUCUACCUGCCUCCAACCCCUGUUCUUAUUUUGACCAACCACCACAAUCAGUAGACAAAGGCACUGAAAUUACAGUAGUUUAAUUUAUUUAAUAUGCCAUGCUGUCUCUUUUUGUUAUUUGCUCAUGUUAUACCUUCAUGGAACAUUCUACCCAGUCUGCUCUUAAAGAUUUGCUCUUUCAGCCUUCUGGCAUGUUUGGCUUAGGGUCAGUUUCAAAGCAGUUCACCUGUCUUCUUCCACCUUUUACUCUCCACAAGUAGCUGGUAGUAAGUUAAUUGGUUGACCAUGGGUUUGGCUCUGCAUCAAGGGAGGAACAGGAGCUCAGGGAGGUGGUUCCAUCUCCCUGUCUUCUCACCAGCACAGCUACAAGUCUGAUCUUGUCUCUGUAAUCCCUAUCAUCUGUUUUCUGGGUCUAGCUUUUCCUGAUAAUGGGCUGUGCCUUCUGCUCUAGGGCACUGAAGACUGGGGAAGUGCUGGUUGACUCAUAGAAUAAUAGUUAGAGGUGGAAGGGACCAUCUAGUUCAACCCCAUCAUUUUAAAGAUGAGGAAACUGAGGCUGAGAGAGAAUGUGAUUUGCCUAAGUUUUCACCAUUAAUAUGUGUUAGAGACAGGAUUUGAACAGAGUCUAGAUCACUGUAGUUUCAGUCUGCUAGUCAGGCAAUCAACUGCUACUUAUCCCUGUACUAGGCAAAGAGCCUUAAUAGACCUAAAGUGUUAUAAGGAAGAGAGGAUUUAAGCAUAUGAAGUGGGUCUGCAGGGAGAUACAGAUGCAGAAGAAAGAUUCUAAAAUGUGAGGGGGAAAGUGUGAGCCAGUUAACUGAGGUUGGAGCUCGGUCUUUCACUGGUUUGAUC